GAUGAACGCUGGCGGCGUGCUUAACACAUGCAAGUCGAACGGUGAAGCCAAGCUUGCUUGGUGGAUCAGUGGCGAACGGGUGAGUAACACGUGAGCAACCUGCCCUGGACUCUGGGAUAAGCGCUGGAAACGGCGUCUAAUACUGGAUAUGAGCCUCUUCCGCAUGGUGGGGGUUGGAAAGAUCUUUUGGUAUGGGAUGGGCUCGCGGCCUAUCAGCUUGUUGGUGAGGUAAUGGCUCACCAAGGCGUCGACGGGUAGCCGGCCUGAGAGGGUGACCGGCCACACUGGGACUGAGACACGGCCCAGACUCCUACGGAAGGCAGCAGUGGGGAAUAUUGCACAAUGGGCGAAAGCCUGAUGCAGCAACGCCGCGUGAGGGAUGACGGCCUUCGGGUUGUAAACCUCUUUUAGCAGGGAAGAAGCGAAAGUGACGGUACCUGCAGAAAAAGCGCCGGCUAACUACGUG
rnacentral:rRNA from 1 species